rnacentral:rRNA from 1 species
AACGAUGAUAUCACCUGCUUGCAGUGAUUGAUUAGUGGCGAACGGGUGAGUAACACGUGAGGAACUUGCCCAUGAGCGGGGGACAACAUUCGGAAACGGAUGCUAAUACCCCAUAGGUGGAUUGGUCGCAUGACGAAUUCAUUAAAGGUGGCUUUGCUACCACUCAUGGAUAGCCUCGCGGCGUAUUAGCUAGUUGGUAAGGUAAUGGCUUACCAAGGCAGUGAUACGUAGCCGACUUGAGAGGGUGAUCGGCCACACUGGGACUGAGACACGGCCCAGACUCCUACGGGAGGCAGCAGUAGGGAAUCUUCCACAAUGGGUGCAAACCUGAUGGAGCAAUGCCGCGUGAGUGAAGAAGGUCUUCGGAUCGUAAAGCUCUGUUGUUAGAGAAGAACACGUGCUAGGUAACUACUAGCGCCUUGACGGUAUCUAACCAGAAAGUCACGGCUAACUAC